GCAUUGGUGGUUCAGUGGUAGAAUUUUCGCCUUUCAUUCGGGAGACCCAGGUUCAAUUACCAGCCAGUGCA
rnacentral:tRNA from 1 species